GGGGAAUAUUGGACAAUGGGCGCAAGCCUGAUCCAGCCAUACCGCGUGGGUGAAGAAGGCCUUCGGGUUGUAAAGCCCUUUUGUUGGGAAAGAAAUCCAGCUGGCUAAUACCCGGUUGGGAUGACGGUACCCAAAGAAUAAGCACCGGCUAACUUCGUGCCAGCAGCCGCGGUAAUACGAAGGGUGCAAGCGUUACUCGGAAUUACUGGGCGUAAAGCGUGCGUAGGUGGUCGUUUAAGUCCGCUGUGAAAGUCCAGGGCUCAACCCUGGAAUGCCGGUGGAUACUGCGAGGCUAGAGUCCGGAAGGGGCGAGUGGAAUUCCUGGUGUAGCGGUGAAAUGCGCAGAUAUCAGGAGGAACACCAAUGGCGAAGGCAGCUCGCUGGGACGUGACUGACGCUGAGACGCGAAAGCGUGGGGAGCAAACA
rnacentral:rRNA from 1 species